AUUGAACGCUGGCGGCAGGCCUAACACAUGCAAGUCGAACGGUAACAGGAAGAAGCUUGCUUCUUUGCUGACGAGUGGCGGGCGGGUGAGUAAUGUCUGGGAAACUGCCUGAUGGAGGGGGAUAACUACUGGAAACGGUAGCUAAUACCGCAUAACGCCGCAAGACCAAAGAGGGGGACCUUCGGGCCUCUUGCCAUCGGAUGUGCCCAGAUGGGAUUAGCUAGUAGGUGGGGUAACGGCUCACCUAGGGGACGAUCCCUAGCUGGUCUGAGAGGAUGACCAGCCACACUGGAACUGAGACACGGUCCAGACUCCUACGGGAGGCAGCAGUGGGGAAUAUUGCACAAUGGGCGCAAGCCUGAUGCAGCCAGGCCGCGUGUAUGAAGAAGGCCUUCGGGUUGUAAAGUACUUUCAGCGGGGAGGAAGGGAGUAAAGUUAAUACCUUUGCUCAUUGACGUUACCCGCAGAAGAAGCACCGGCUAACUCCGUG
rnacentral:rRNA from 1 species